rnacentral:rRNA from 1 species
UCAAGAUAAGAUUUCCCACCGUAAGGGUAAGACCCCAGAAAGACUAUCUGGUUGAUAGGUCGAAGGUGUAAGUGCAGCAAUGUAUUUAGCUUAUCGAUACUAAUAGGUCGAGGACUUGACCAAUAUUUAUU